AGCGAACGCUGGCGGCAGGCCUAACACAUGCAAGUCGAACGAAGUCUUCGGACUUAGUGGCGGACGGGUGAGUAACACGUGGGAACGUGCCCUUUGGUACGGAAUAACUCAGGGAAACUUGAGCUAAUACCGUAUGUGCCCUUCGGGGGAAAGAUUUAUCGCCAUUGGAGCGGCCCGCGUCUGAUUAGCUAGUUGGUGAGGUAAAGGCUCACCAAGGCGACGAUCAGUAGCUGGUCUGAGAGGAUGAUCAGCCACAUUGGGACUGAGACACGGACCAAACUCCUACGGGAGGCAGCAGUGGGGAAUCUUGCGCAAUGGGCGAAAGCCUGACGCAGCCAGGCCGCGUGAAUGAUGAAGGUCGUAGGAUUGUAAAAUUCUUUCACCGGGGACGAUAAUGACGGUACCCGGAGAAGAAGCCCCGGCUAACUUCGUGCCAGCCGCCGCAGUAA
rnacentral:rRNA from 1 species